rnacentral:rRNA from 1 species
UUCUACGGCCACGCGGCCCUGAACAUGCCCAAUCCUGUCUGAUCUCGGAAGCUAAGUAGGGUUGGGCCUGGUUAGUACUUGGAUGGGAGACUGCUCAGGAAGACCAGGUGCUGUAGGCA